rnacentral:rRNA from 1 species
UACGUAUGGAGCAAGCGUUAUCCGGAUUUACUGGGUGUAAAGGGAGUGUAGGUGGCCAGGCAAGUCAGAAGUGAAAGCCCGGGGCUCAACCCCGGGACUGCUUUUGAAACUGCAGGGCUAGAGUGCAGGAGGGGCGAGUGGAAUUCCUAGUGUAGCGGUGAAAUGCGUAGAUAUUAGGAGGAACACCAGUGGCGAAGGCGGCUUGCUGGACUGUAACUGACACUGAGGCUCGAAAGCGUGGGGAGCAAACAGG